AUGUAUGUAUAUAUGUGUGUAUAUACACACAUGUAUGUGUGUAUAUACAUAUACACACACACAUAUACAUAUA
ensembl:miRNA Gm25678 predicted gene, 25678